CAGUCGCCGCGGUAAUACAGAGGGUGCAAGCGUUAAUCGGAAUUACUGGGCGUAAAGCGCGCGUAGGUGGUUCGCCAAGUUGGAUGUGAAAUCCCCGGGCUCAACCUGGGAACUGCAUCCAAAACUGGCGAGCUAGAGUAUGGUAGAGGGUGGUGGAAUUUCCUGUGUAGCGGUGAAAUGCGUAGAUAUAGGAAGGAACAUCAGUGGCGAAGGCGACCACCUGGACUGAUACUGACACUGAGGUGCGAAAGCGUGGGGAGCAAACAGGAUUAGAUACCCCAGUAGUCCCUGUCUCUUAUAA
rnacentral:rRNA from 1 species